AUUGAACGCUGGCGGCAGGCCUAACACAUGCAAGUCGAACGAGUGGCGGACGUGUGAGUAAUGUCUGGGACACUGCCUGAUGGAUGGGGAUAACUACUGGAAACGAAUACUAAUACCGCAUACCAUCAGCUGGGCCCAGAUGGGAUUAGCGAGGUGGUGGGGUAAAGGCUAACCACGGCGACGAUCCCUAGCUGGUCUGAGAGGAUGAACAGCCACACUGGAACUGAGACACGGUCCAGACUCCUACGGGAGGCAGCAGUGGGGAAUAUUGCACAAUGGGCGAAAGCCUGAUGCAGCCAUGCCGCGUGUAUGAAGAAGGCCUUCGGGUUGUAAAGCACUUUCAGCGGGGAGGCGUUACCAGCAGAAGAAGCACCGGCUAACUCCGUGCCAGCAGCCGCGGUAAUAC
rnacentral:rRNA from 1 species